GGAAAGUUGGCAGAGUGGUCGAUUGCGGCGGUCUUGAAAACCGUUGAGGCGAAUAACCUCCGGGGGUUCGAAUCCCUCACUUUCCG
rnacentral:tRNA from 1 species